UUUCUUUCCUUCCUUUUGAUAAUCUUGGCCGGACACACACAUAUACCCACUUCCUUUCAAAAUUCAGACAUUUUCCUUGAAGAUCAAAGCCAUUUCAAGUUAGUUUCAAGGUGUUUUAAAGAUUCAAGGGUGAUUUCAAGGUGAUUCCAAGAAGGUGCAAGCUCCAUAUCAUUAAACUUUGUCAAAAUCCCACCAAAAUCUUGAAGAUUGCUUCGUUUUCAUGGAAUUUGGUUACCUAAUCAGUAUUGUUGGCAGUGUUGUUGGGUGAAUCUGGAUGGUUGAAUAUACCUAGAUCAGGAAAUAAGUACGUGAUUGAACCACCUUCUUUAAGGUAAUUAUCUAUUUUGUAUAUGUGUUUUACUCUCCGAACCACCUAUAAUAGUUUGAAUAUCAUUGAACACAUGAAGUUUUUGUGUUGGGAUUCCACUUGAGGCAGGGUAUUAUUUGUUUUGGGUUUUGUCGAACAUAUCAAGACUCCGAGGAAAGGUGAUGUCAUUAAGAAGCAGAUCAAGGAUAUUUUUGACAGAGAGCUUUAAGGAAACUAAAUCAUUGGGGACGGUUUGGAGCAUAUACUUCAUAACUAAGUACUAUUUGUAGCAACAUUUUCUUCUAGAGGCCUGAAUAUAAAAUAUUAUAAAUUUGCCGAUGCAGAUUAUUUGAAACUGGAAGCACCAGAUUCUUUGAACUGGGCUUUUUGGUCAUGGAACUGAUGAGCCUAAUUAUAAAGGUAAACAUGUAAUUAUAUAUGUAAUUUGUUUCAACAAUCAUCGACUCUUAUACAUCCUCCUACUUAUCAAACACCAUUCAACCCAGCUGCGGCCAUCACGGAGUCCUUUUUCGGACAAUUUUAGACUUAUUGUUUCUUGGUUUGUGCUUGUUUAACUUGGUUAAAUUAAUGUAUUAUUAUUACUAUUAUACAACUUGAUAUAUUAAAUUUUUUUAGUGGGAUGGUUUAAAAGUUUUGGUCA